AUGAGAACACUCGGUCUGGCGUCUGUGGAAAGAGCGAGGAAAAGGCAGGCCUCCAGGAUUUCUUGGCUCAAGGCCGGCGACGCACGCACAGCCUUUUUCCAAGCAAAGAUCAACUCAAGGAGAAGGAAAAACUUCAUACACUCCCUGCAAACUGACACGAUCACUUCCACGGCUCAUGAAGACAAAGCG
rnacentral:rRNA from 1 species